UACGUAGGGUGCGAGCGUUAAUCGGAAUUACUGGGCGUAAAGCGUGCGCAGGCGGCUUUGCAAGACAGAUGUGAAAUCCCCGGGCUCAACCUGGGAACUGCAUUUGUGACUGCAAGGCUAGAGUACGGCAGAGGGGGAUGGAAUUCCGCGUGUAGCAGUGAAAUGCGUAGAUAUGCGGAGGAACACCAAUGGCGAAGGCAAUCCCCUGGGCCUGUACUGACGCUCAUGCACGAAAGCGUGGGGAGCCAACAGG
rnacentral:rRNA from 1 species